UUGAGGAUCGAUCUUCAAACUUAAUACGAGUGGGAUUUUCAACAGAUAAAAAGAUACGUUAGGAAUCAAAUUAAUAAGUUGGGAAACACUGACAUUAUGAUUCAUCGAUAAUAAUCUUUUAUCGAAGAAAUUCGACUUGACGGUAUUGGAUAAGUAUUAUCUCAACGGGUAUAAUAGUUUGACGUCACCGUCGAUUGCAACGAGUAAGUGGCAGACUAUCGAAUAUCGAGCGUUAUCGAUACCCGAUCAUACCGACCGAUUCAGAAUUGGUAGAUCAUCUUAUAAGUUCGAACCUUCAUUUUUUUCCUCGAUCUAUGUUUUUCUUAUCUAGUUCAUGAUUUUAAUUGUUUGAUAUUGUGUACUCGUGAUAUUUGCAACAUUUGUCGUUACGGCUAAAACGUUUAUUUGGAUAAAAGAUAAGUGAUAAGAACUGAUAGAAAAAGCUCGUAAGUCACCGUUGUUAUUAAGGCGAUUUUCGUUAAAACGACGGAAACAGAUAGCUAAAAAAUGUCGGGUUGAAACAUUUUUCUUGACGAAGCAUAAUUCAUUUCUCUUGUUAUCAUUUUUUUUUUUGCUAACCUAUAAUACAAGGACAGUUUAAAACUAACCUUGGUUGACCAAUGACAUCUUUAUCAAAGCAGUUAAACCGUUAACUAUACGUCGAUCCAAACAACGAUUUAGCGGGUUCUUCGAACGUCGCCUUAAUAAAUUCGCUUGACCCUUUUACCCAACUUCCACUUGCACGUGGUCAAUUAUAGUUCGCUAUAAAUCCUAUUCUAAAUAUAUAUCAAUAUUUAAACGCUUUGGCUUUGAAAACGUUAAAGAAGUCACGCGUCGAUGUUGUUUGUUUCACUUGAAAUAUAUAUGGCACAAAUUGAAAUAAAAUUCUAGUAGAGAACAGGGAUAAGAAGGAGUAAAUUGUAACGAACAUGAUAUGAUGCAACAGGCAUUUGUUGCAUAUAGAUACGCUAGAAUAUAUGCAGAAUAGUAGAAUGUAUAGUAAUCAUCCAUCAAUCAAUAUUAUAUAAAUUAAAAUUUGUUUAAAUUUCAAAACAGCAAUUUGAAUUUGUAACAGAUGAAAACAUUAUCCUGAAAUUACUUUGUUCUGGAAUAUGGUUAACUUAAGAAUGUUGCAAGUGUGGAUUACGAGGUAAAUUAUACACGAAAACCGUGUCACGUACUUGAUUUAUGAGAAAAGAGUAUCCUCGACUCAAUAUGACAGACCACCUCACGAUGCAUCUGCUGCAAUCCGUGCAUCACCUAAUAAAAGCACGAGAUGUUCGCGAUUUCAUUUCAGUGACUCACGUUCCAGAUGUCAAUGACAUAAAACGCAGCUUGCGCGCCUCCCGCUUUGUGUGUAUUUUCAACAAAAACUAAUCGAAUAGGUAUCGUAUCGCAUCAUUUGCAACUUUGUAUCCAUCUUUUACUAAACUUUCUAUGCACAUUUUUCGAGUAAAAAAGAUGCAAGGGAAGCUAACCUUAAUAUGGACUGUAUUCCCCACUCAUUUUUUGAACUAUUCCUAUCUAAACACUGUUAGUUACCUUUAUGGCUAGGCACAUUUAACUCUCCAAUACGUUAUAAGUUAUAAUACAAUUUCCAAACGUUAACAGAACCACGUAUAGUAUCGAAGAGUUAAAUUAAACUUACGUUCCAGCUGAUCAGCUUGUCAUAAAUGUCACACAGAGUUCAUCCACGAAACUUGUCACAUCACAGUUACGAUCACAAGAAGCGCCAACGUCAGAACAAAGACGUCCUCUUUCGAAACUGUAGAUCCGCGCGGUUCGAUACGUUUAAAGCGAUUCCACGAGACUUUUACUUUUAUUUAUCACGAACGAGAGUACAUACACGAGACUGGACUAUCGGUUCGUACACCUGGAUGACACCUGGAAAACUUGUUCCUCCGAAGAAAGCCACCGCCGAUCUCUCAGGGUGCCUUUUGUGCCCACCUCGAACAUAAAACUUAUGUGGAUCUUGUGUGCACACGCCACGGUGUAACACACGAAACUGCCGGCUUAAAGGAACUCUCUGUGCCGUAGAAAGAAGGUGGUGGAGGAAAAGAGGAAGACGUUUGAAGGCACAACAGAGAAGGAGAAACAGCCCAUUCCCUCCGUGUGUUCCGCGUGGUCGUGUUUGUAUGUGUCGAUACGUGCGUAUACGUACGAAUGUAUAUGUAUGUGUGUGAACGUUUGAGUAUUCGGCUGACGAUGCACAAAUAUUAGUGUAUGAGAAAAUACGUAUUUUUUGGAAAAUUUGUUAUAUUACAAAGAAAUCAGAGAUAUUAAGUUCCCGCGUUAAACUAGAGGGCACUGCUUUUGGGUCCGUUUCGAAAGCGUGAUGGAAUUAGAAACGUCUCGAAAGAGUCUAUAUGGGAUUGCUAGUAUGCCACGCACGUUCGAGGUUAUGUAUAGACGAUCACGAUUAUUGGUCCUCUUAGGAAAUACAUACUACGAUUGUGAUCUAUCCAUAUAUAAAACUUAUCUGUCGAACAUUAUGACUCUUUCUUCUUCCAAAUCAUGGAAGCAUAUGUAAUCAAAUUUUAUCGAAAUAGUUUGUCAAGAUUAUUAUUAAAAUAUACAAUUUUAUUUUGUA